rfam:Hordeum vulgare subsp. vulgare, WGS project CAJW01000000 data, contig: morex_contig_1588564
CAUGUACUCCCUUUGCCCCAAUUUUUUUUGUUUUAGAUUUGUCUAGAAAUGAAUGUAUCUAAAUACUAAAAUGUGACUAGAUGCAUUCAUCUUUAGACAAAUCUAAGACAAGAAUUUUGGGACUGAGGGAAUACAUA